rnacentral:rRNA from 1 species
UACGUAGGGUGCGAGCGUUGUCCGGAAUUAUUGGGCGUAAAGGGCUCGUAGGCGGUUUGUCGCGUCGGGAGUGAAAACCUUGGGCUUAACUCAGGGCUUGCUUUCGAUACGGGCAGACUAGAGGUAUGCAGGGGAGAACGGAAUUCCUGGUGUAGCGGUGAAAUGCGCAGAUAUCAGGAGGAACACCGGUGGCGAAGGCGGUUCUCUGGGCAUGUUCUGACGCUGAGGAGCGAAAGUGUGGGGAGCGAACAGG